rnacentral:rRNA from 1 species
GAUGAACGCUGGCGGCGUGCCUAAUACAUGCAAGUCGAGCGAACAGACGAGGAGCUUGCUCCUCUGACGUUAGCGGCGGACGGGUGAGUAACACGUGGAUAACCUACCUAUAAGACUGGGAUAACUUCGGGAAACCGGAGCUAAUACCGGAUAACAUGUUGAACCGCAUGGUUCAACAGUGAAAGACGGUUUUGCUGUCACUUAUAGAUGGAUCCGCGUCGCAUUAGCUAGUUGGUAAGGUAACGGCUUACCAAGGCAACGAUGCGUAGCCGACCUGAGAGGGUGAUCGGCCACACUGGAACUGACACACGGUCCAGACUCCUACGGGAGGCAGCAGUAGGGAAUCUUCCGCAAUGGGCGAAAGCCUGACGGAGCAACGCCGCGUGAGUGAAGAAGGUCUUCGGAUCGUAAAACUCUGUUAUUAGGGAAGAACAAAUGUGUAAGUAACUAUGCACGUCUUGACGGUACCUAAUCAGAAAGCCACGGCUAACUACGUG